GGGCGCUGGCCAGGACUCUUGCCCAAACCGAAAUCCACUCUUGGAUACUGGAUGGGAAGGCAGUGCACAGGGCCAGAUGUGAGGUUACUGCCAAGCAUGGAAAUGUGAGCCCAGCUUUCCUCCUGACUACUGUUCCUCAGCAAAGUGCGUGACUCGACUCCCACCUUCAUGGGCUUCCAAGGUCGUGCACCAGACCAAGCCUCUCUGGACCACCUGGCUUUUUCAUCUUCUUAGGACUCUGGCUUCCGCUCCCUCAACCCCAGCCUUCUGUCCAGUAUCAGGUCCCCACAGUCUCUGGUACUCAAACUCCUGGCUGUUUCCUGACAUUCUCAGUAAAUCAGUCACAGUGGCAUUAAGUUGUAUUAAGGGCUCAGCCUCCUCUUCCUUCCCCUGAGCAUGAGCUCUGGCC
rnacentral:lncRNA from 1 species